rnacentral:tRNA from 1 species
GGAUACUGUGCAACUCAGUCUAAUUUGAUUAUGUAUUAAUUUACUUUUUCUUUAUUUAUGUUUUAGGA